rnacentral:rRNA from 1 species
CGUGAGCAAUCUGCCUUGGAGUGGGGAAUAACGGCUGGAAACAGCCGCUAAUACCGCAUGACGCGUCUGGGAGGCAUCUCUCUGGACGCCAAAGAUUUAUCGCUCUGAGAUGAGCUCACGUCUGAUUAGCUAGUUGGCGGGGUAACGGCCCACCAAGGCGACGAUCAGUAGCCGGACUGAGAGGUUGGCCGGCCACAUUGGGACUGAGACACGGCCCAGACUCCUACGGAAGGCAGCAG